UUGUCAUCUAGAAUAACUUAGUUUAUUCUUUCCCUAAGACAAGACAGUUUCAUUACUCAAGCUUCUUAUGUUUUUUUUUUUGGUUAAAACAGAGUCCUUGUAUUUUAUCUUUGGCUAAGUAAAAAGUCACUUUAAGAUAGUAAUAUUCUACUUUUAGACCUUUGAUCCUUAUUUCUUUGGACAUUGUUGACUUAGAGAAGAUUCACAGGUUGAGAAAUUGGAAGCAGAGGUACCUGAACUGCGAAAGACUUUUGUAGAUAAGCAAGAACAAGAGACUGGUGUUCAAUUGUGAUAAAGAAAAAUCGGCUAGGGAAGUACAUAGAAGGAAUAGCAUUGGGGGAAAUCAAACUGCUCAAGGAUCCGAGUGAGCAGAUUAACUACUUGGAAACUUCCCCUGGGGAUAACUAUCAUAAAAUGGUUUUUAAAUAAUAUGCAGCUUAGCUUACAUUGUAUCCAUGAUACAAAAAUCUGAAAGCAAUUCUUCUACUAAGUAGCCUUUUUUAUUUAAAGCUCUAAUAUCCAGUAGCUAAUAUCUGCAUCUCUAUCUUUAAUAGCUAGACAUAUAUGAAUAAACUAAACUAGGCUCUGAUAGAGUUGACGUUUCCAAUAUCACUUCCUUGGAUAUCUACUUAUCACUUCAGCAUAUAUGUGAUGCCUUUUUAUCCAUAGCAUGAAAGCUUCGACGAUGUGCACAAUUCUUGAGUAAAAGCCAGACAAGAUAAUGUCAAUGUAUAAUAGUGAAAAUCUACCUAGCCUAAGUUAUAUUUAACACUAUUCUUCUUCGGGAUUAUAUUGUUGUGUUCUUUCUUGGUCUUCACUCUUAUCAUUCACGACAGCAUUAUUUUCUGAAACUGGUCAUCCAUUGCAAAAUUGGUGUUCAGAGGGUGCCCGUGGGAGUCCAUGUUUGCUAUGCCUUCAUUGAAUGGUUGUGGAUUGGCAGCGCCAUUCUUCCCGCGUUCAUGAAGCUCGUGACGCACAUAUCUGCCUUCUGUGUGACCUAUGUGUCGCCUUUGGCCUACUUUGAACUGAUCAUACUGGGUAGUUGUUAGUGCCGGCAGGUUUGUCACUGUUGAUACCAGGUAAUCUGCUAAGUGUAGUGCCAGCACUCUUUUUAGUGUAGUCUCAAGGUGCAUCCACGGCAGGUGGUCCAAUAUUUGGUUGUGUAGUCAUUACUUACUAGAAUUUUGUGCCAUCAAAAUCUAUCUGCUUAUAUAUUCACCGGGCUUCUACGUUGGUUUUUCUUUUCACACAUGAUGUGGCAAAUGAUUGUCAUUAAUUACAAGGUUCAUGGUUCAGCUGAAUGAGAGACAAGCACCAUAUAUGUCCCCCCUAAGAAAGGAAAUUUCAUAUA